UAGCUUACUUGUCUCCAUGAUGUAUGC
rnacentral:piRNA from 1 species